CCUACGGGAGGCAGCAGUGGGGAAUAUUGCACAAUGGGGGAAACCCUGAUGCAGCAAUGCCGCGUGAGUGAAGAAGUAUUUCGGUAUGUAAAGCUCUAUCAGCAGGGAAGAAGAUGACGGUACCUGACCAAUAACUCCCGGCCAACUACGUCCCAGCAGCCGCGGUCAUACGUAGGGGGCAAGCGUUCUACGGAUUUACUGGGUGUAACGUGAACGCAGACGGCAGGGCAAGUCUGGCGUGAAAGCCCGGGGCCCAACCCCGGAACUGCUCCUGAGACUGGGCGGCGAGAGUACUGGAGGGGCAGGCAGAAUUCCAAGUGUAGCGGUGAAAUGCGUAGAGAUGAGGAGGAAUACCAGUGGCGAAGGCGGCCUGUUGGACAGGAACUGACGUUGAGGCUCGAAAGCGUGGGGAGCAAACAGGAUUAGAUACCCGAGUAGU
rnacentral:rRNA from 1 species